rnacentral:misc_RNA from 1 species
AAGUCGUAACAAGGUUUCCGUAGGUGAACCUGCGGAAGGAUCAUUAACACGUAUCCUAACGUUAAACCCCCCUGUGAACUUUCAACGUACUCUCGUCACCCCCGCAAGAGGCAAUCCCUGGUAAAUCAUGUUGACCAGUUUUGAGUCAGGGACAACCGGCUACGGGAGAAAUAACUUUGACGAUUGAGCGCUUGAUACUUUCUAAGUCUCCUCGCGGCCCGCUAUGAGUGAAAGUGUCAUGGUGGAGACAGACAACAGGAGAACCGCUUUACGGGCGCACUGGAGGUCAUCACGACCGGUGCCUUAGAAUAUGGGCCUGCGCCCCUUACUAACCCCUCUGAAAUUGCAUCGGUUCGCGUUAACGCGCUGAACUAAAAAAAACCGAACAACUGUUAACAAUGGAUAUCUUGGUUCUC